CGCGUAGGCGGCCACCGCAAGUCAGUUGUGAAAGCUCUGGGCUUAACCCAGAAAGGUCAACUGAUACUGCGGGGCUAGAGUGCAGAAGGGGCAACUGGAAUUCUCGGUGUAGCGGUGAAAUGCGUAGAUAUCGAGAGGAACACCUGUGGCGAAAGCGGCGCACUGGACCACAACUGACGCUGAGGCGCGAAAGCUAGGGGAGCAAACA
rnacentral:rRNA from 1 species